rnacentral:rRNA from 1 species
AUUGAACGCUAGCGGGAUGCCUUACACAUGCAAGUCGAACGGCAGCGCGGACUUCGGUCUGGCGGCGAGUGGCGAACGGGUGAGUAAUGUAUCGGAACGUGCCCAGUAGCGGGGGAUAACUACUCGAAAGAGUAGCUAAUACCGCAUACGCCCUACGGGGGAAAGGGGGGGAUCGCGAGACCUCUCACUAUUGGAGCGGCCGAUAUCGGAUUAGCUAGUUGGUGAGGUAAAGGCUCACCAAGGCGACGAUCCGUAGCUGGUUUGAGAGGACGACCAGCCACACUGGGACUGAGACACGGCCCAGACUCCUACGGGAGGCAGCAGUGGGGAAUUUUGGGCAAUGGGGGAAACCCUGAUCCAGCCAUUCCGCGUGUGCGAUGAAGGCCUUCGGGUUGUAAAGCACUUUUGGCAGGAAAGAAAUCGCAUCAAUUAAUGCUUGGUGUGGAUGACGGUACCUGCAGAAUAAGCACCGGCUAACUACGUGCCAGCCGCCGCAGUAA